CGUCUGGUUCUCUAUGAGUUUGAUAACAGUCAGGUCAAAAAAAUUAUAAGUCUUCUGACAUGAAAUAAAAGCUCAUCAUAAAAAUCUAUAAACCGUUCGGAGAGGGCCUACAAUCAACGUAAACCACAAAUUAAAUUAAAUAAAUUAAGUUUCUUGGGCCAUUAUAAAGUGAUAGUACGCUAUUUUACAAAUGUACAAUAGGAGAACGACAGACGUUCGAUAAGCGCAGAGAAAAUUUGGAGAAAAUUAAUUCAAAAAAAUUAUAAGUCUUCUGACAUGAAAUAAAAGCUCAUCAUAAAAAUCUAUAAACCGUUCGGAGAGGGCCUACAAUCAACGUAAACCACAAAUUAGAGGAAGAGCUCGACCAAAAAUCGGUUCACAAUAAUGAUAAUAUCGGGUUUAAAACGAUUCGCAAAUAAAAGUGUAAAGCUUCUAAAAGAGAUUAAAGUAGAACGUCCAAUGAGGAACAGUACUGGAUUUAUUUGUAAUUGCAACUAUACACUGCUAGGCAAGAGUAAUUACCAACAACCACUCUCAAGGAAGGUCAUUUUCUCAAAUAAAACUGCAAUUAAUUGGAUAUUGAUGUCCCAGAGAAGUGGACCGAUUUAUUAGAAAAAAAUAUAUAUGUGUCAACAUACAUCCCCGUUUCGAUUUGGUCAAAAUAUUUGGUAUUAUUCCUAAAGGUAUUACUCUUGUCUCCAGAAAUGGACCAGUGACCAGGAAUCGAGUUCAAUUUUCUCGAAUCAUAUGCGAUAUGCAUAUAAACAAAAAUUGAUGCUCAAGUAAGUAUGGGUAGUCAGCAGUAGGAUGGGUGGCAAUAACAGUGACCAAUAUUUCAAUAUUUUAUUAACACUUUGACUCUUAUUUAAGUCACAAAUAAUUAUUUCUGAAGGUCAAGAAAUAGAAAGACAUUUAUAAUGACCAUUUAUAUAAAAAAUAUAGUAAUAAAAAAAUACCCUUAAUCGAGAUAUAACGAAUGGAGUUGAAAUUCCGGAAAAAUGCAUCGUUUUAUUAAAAAAAAUUUUAAGAAUGUUUCUCAAAAUUUAUAAUUAUAACUUCCCAUUGUAAUAAAUAUCUCAUGUAAGUUACAGCUAUU